rnacentral:lncRNA from 1 species
GUUCGCGCCCGGGCCGGCGGGGUCUGCGUGUCCGCCGAGCGGCGGGGCUGCUGAGGCCGGACGCACACGGCCGGGGUCUUAAUUGCCCCUCCGGCCUGCUCCGAUCCGCUGCGAUAUCGCGGCCUGCGCUGCGGCGGUCGUCCGCAGCCCGGCCCUCGUCCCCCGCUCCUUUGGUAGCUCCGCCACCCUUCCGCAUUCCUGGGCCCGCUGGGCGCGGCUGGGCAGGCCGCUGGAAUUUGACCCGAGUGGGCCGCGAUCGGCCGAGGAUUUGGGGUCCCCUUUGACCCAGGCGGGGCGCGAUCCGCCUAGGAUUUGGGGUCCCCUGGCGCCGAACCCUGAGUUGCCAGAUGUAGCAAGUAAAAGUACAGUUCUUCUAAAUUUGAAUUUCAGACAAGACAGGUUUUAGGGUUCGUCUCAUGUAAUGUUGAGAAGGUGAGGGCGGCGCCUGGGCGGAUUCUUCUCCGUUCCAGAAUCCCUUUCUCUUUUCAAACCGCAUUACAGCCCGAGUUAAAUUCUUUAACCUACUCCUCUCUGCUUACCCUCAUAAGGUUUACGGCCGUAUCAGGCUACGGCCGCAGCCUACGGCUGUUUGAUUCCCCUUUUGGCCACAAGAAAGUUUUAUUCGAACUACUUGCUUUCCUUUAUCAAGAAAAUGGCAACGCACACACAUACAUGCACACACAAAUAAAAACACAAAGCUACGUUUUUCAGGUUUUGUUCUAGAUCGUGUUUGUGGCUGUGUUCUUCAGGAUAUUUUCCCUCACCUUGAGGUAAUCUAGCAUUACUUCAUCUAGCAUUACUAAAAUAGCAUUACUUCAGGAUGGUGGAGGAUCGGCAAUCUAAUAGCAAAUCUUUAUUGAACUCUUCUUACUGCCUUAACAUGUGCCGGAUGCUGAGAGAUGAAUUCAAAGCCUCUUAGGGAGUUUAUAUUCUAGAAAUCUUUGAUCAGAAAUUCCUAGAAGAGAGGGACCUUGUGUUCAGCACUCUGUAGCAGUUCUUAAACAGUAGCACGCAUAAUAACAGGGCUUUUAAAAACAUUUUUGAGCCUCAAAACCGGGUAUCAGGAUUCAGUGAGUAAGGGGUGGAGGAUAAUUCGAAUUUCUGGUAAGCACACAUGAUGCUGAUGGGGUGGUCGCCAUCCCAGCAGCACAGCUCUAAACGCGGUUCAUAACUGUGUGUAUUUUCUCAAUAGUGUUAGAAAAGCAAUUGCUGAAAAGUCACACCUGGUUCUACAAUAUUUACUCUUAGGUUUUGGUUCGAUAGUCUAAAUUAAAAAAAAAAAAGUUUCUAGAAUUGUGCUGUCCAAUACAAUCGUCACUAACCACAUGCAGCUAAACUUAAAUUUAGUUCCUCAGUUGUAUUUGAUACGUUUUAUUUUUAGAGAUGGGGUCACCCUAUGUUGCCUAACCUGGAAUGCACUGGCUAUUCACAGGCGUGAUCAUAAUGCACUACAACCUGGAACUCCUGGCCUCAAGCGAUCCUCUCACUUGAGCCUCCCAAGUAGUUGGGACUACAGGUGAGAGACACCGCACCAGUGCGUCUGGCAGUAUUAGACACUUUUUUUUUUCUUGAGACGGAGUCUUGCUCCGUCGCCCAGGCUGGAGUGCAGUGGUUUGAUCUCGGCUCACUGCAACCUCUGCCUCCCGGGUUCAUGUGAUUCUUCUGCCUUAGCCUCCCGAGUAGCAGGGACUACAGGCCUGUGCCACGACGCCCAGCUAAUUUUUGUAUUUUUAGUAGAGACGGGGUUUCACCAUGUUGGCCAGGAUGGUCUCAAUCUCUUGUCCUCAUGAUCCGCCCACCUGGGCCUCCAAAAGUGCUGGGAUUACAGGCGUGAGCCACCGCGCCUGGCUAGUAUUAGACACAUUUUAAGUGCUCAAUAGCCACAUGUGGUUAGUGUCCUUAUUGUAUGGCACAGAGAGCAUUUCCUUAAUUACAGAAGCUUCUAUUUGACAGCACUAUUCUGAAGAAAUAAUUCUAAGGUAUAUUGUUCUCUCUAGAUG